ACUUCAGGACGGGGACAACAGUUGGAAACGACUGCUAAUACCCGAUGUGCCGCAAGGUGAAACCUAAUUGGCCUGGAGAAGAGCUUGCGUCUGAUUAGCUAGUUGGUGGGGUAAAGGCCUACCAAGGCGACGAUCAGUAGCUGGUCUGAGAGGAUGAGCAGCCACACUGGGACUGAGACACGGCCCAGACUCCUACGGGAGGCAGCAGUGGGGAAUUUUCCGCAAUGGGCGAAAGCCUGACGGAGCAACGCCGCGUGAGGGAGGAAGGUCUUUGGAUUGUAAACCUCUUUUCUCAAGGAAGAAGUUCUGACGGUACUUGAGGAAUCAGCCUCGGCUAACUCCGUGCCAGCAGCCGCGGUAAUACGGGGGAGGCAAGUGUUAUCCGGAAUUAUUGGGCGUAAAGCGUCCGCAGGUGGUCAGCCAAGUCUGCCGUCAAAUCAGGUUGCUUAACGACCUA
rnacentral:rRNA from 1 species